rnacentral:rRNA from 1 species
CACGUAGGGCGCAAGCGUUGUCCGGAAUUAUUGGGCGUAAAGAGCUCGUAGGCGGUCUGUUGCGUCUGCUGUGAAAACUCGGGGCUUAACCCCGAGCCUGCAGUGGAUACGGGCAGACUAGAGGUAGGUAGGGGAGAAUGGAAUUCCCGGUGUAGCGGUGAAAUGCGCAGAUAUCGGGAGGAACACCGGUGGCGAAGGCGGUUCUCUGGGCCUUACCUGACGCUGAGGAGCGAAAGCGUGGGUAGCAAACAGG